AGGCUAGCCACUUCACCUGCCUCCCAUUGGUGGAGCCUUCGGACACCUCCCAGCUACGAUGAUGUCACCUUUCUCCAGGUCCGGUGAGCCCUGAGUGGCUGGUGGCCAGCGGCAUCGCUACUCCUCCUCAGGUCUGGCAUUGGCUGGAAAUGGCUGGCCCCGGCGCUGGGUGGUGCUGAUUCACCGGCCGCGGCGGAGUUAGGCUCCGCCCGACCCCUCCUGGUCCUGCCUCUGACCUGUUGCGAGUCCUGUCUCUGGGGAAAACUUCGGGGACCUGCCAAGUGUCCCUCGAAUGGAAGGCUGGCACCUCGCGUCACCUGGGAGCUCAUCCCCGCUCGGGUUCGGGACCGGAGCCUUUGGUCUGGUGGCUGUGACCCCGGAGGUCCCCGGCUUUUCCAGAAUCCGGCAGCCGUGAACCCCCAGCGCAUCCUCCCGGGAGGGAGAGCUUCAUCAGCAACCCAGCAAGUGGCCGGUGGGCCAGGGGCUCAAGAGGGCGCCACGUGACUAAGGGGCUGGAAGGAAAAAGCCUGGCCUGUGUAAAACGCCACCCAGCGUUUUUUCUAUUCUCAGGAAGCGCUGGAAUCCGGCUGCGGGACACGGAAUUGAAUUUCUCUCCGAAGGCGCUUACCUCCCCCGCCCUGCCCCGGGAGAGUGGUGGCAGAAUUACUCUUGUCACGCAAGUGGGUCUUAAGAGCUCAGAAAUUAAAGUUGAAGCUGAGUAAGCUGAACCCCAAGAUUCUUUGGCCUAACGCUCUUUUAAGGUUUUCCCUUCCCUUUUAAUUCUAGAUAAAAACAGGAAGGCUACAGGAAGGUGUGUUUGUGUGAGGAGUGGUACCAAUAUAAAUGCUUACUAUAAUAUUAUGUAUAAAAACCAAAAGUUUAGGAUUGUUCCAUAAACCUCAUCAGAUUUUUUAAAUGAAAGCUCUCUGGAGACUCAAGUAAUGUACAUUGUUGCACAUACUGACAUUUCCAAUUUGAAAAUUAGAAAUAAAGUUAUUUAAGUUGGGAGUCCCCAAGGUUGAAAUGAGUAAAGCAUGUUUUUUUUUUUUUUUAAUAAAAUGUAUUAUUGUUG
rnacentral:lncRNA from 1 species